AUUGAACGCUGGCGGCAGGCCUAACACAUGCAAGUCGAACGAGUGGCGGACGGGUGAGUAAUGUCUGGGAAACUGCCCGAUGGAGGGGGAUAACUCCUGGAAACGGUAGCUAAUACCGCAUACUAUCGGAUGGGCCCAGCUGGGAUGAGCUCGUAGGUGGGGUAACGGCUCACCUAGGCGACGCUCCCUAGCUGGUCUGAGAGGAUGACCAGCCACACUGGAACUGAGACACGGUCCAGACUCCUACGGGAGGCAGCAGUGGGGAAUAUUGCACAAUGGGCGCAAGCCUGAUGCAGCCAUGCCGCGUGUAUGAAGAAGGCCGUCGGGUUGUAAAGUACUUUCAGCGAGGAGGCGUUACUCGCAGAAGAAGCACCGGCUAACUCCGUGCCAGCAGCCGCGGUAAUUC
rnacentral:rRNA from 1 species